GCUAGGUAUGGUGGUGCACGCCUAUAGUCCCAGCUACUGGGGAGGCUGAGGUAGGAGGAUCGCUUGAGCUUGGGAGGUCGAGGUCGCAGUGAGCAGAUGGUGCCACUGCAGUCUAGCCUGGGCAACAGAGUGAGACCCUAUCUCAA
rnacentral:SRP_RNA from 1 species